ACAAAUGCUAGCCCGCACACCACAAAAUACAACUACCACCCCCAAAUAAACUAAAACAUUUACCACAAUUAAAGUAUAGGAGAUAGAAAUUUUAACCGGCGCUAUAGAGAAAGUACCGCAAGGA
rnacentral:rRNA from 1 species